rnacentral:rRNA from 1 species
GAAUUCGCCCUUUUCCGGUUGAUCCUGCCGGACCCAACUGCUAUCGGGAUAGGACUAAGACAUGCUAGUCGAGCGCCUCCCAGCCACGACGUAGGCGCGGCGCACAGCUCAGUAACGCGUGGCUAACCUGCCCUCGGGACGGGAAUACCCCCGGGAAACUGGGGCUAAUCCUCGAUAGGUGAAGAACUCUGGAAUGAGUCUCCGCCCAAAAGACGCUUAACUCAUGCUUUUAGGCGCCGCCCAAGGAUGGGGCCGCGACCGAUCAGGUAGUUGGUGAGGCAACGGCUCACCAAGCCUUUAACCGGUGCGGGCCGUGAAAGCGGGAGCCCGGAUAUGGACACUGAGACAAGGGCCCAGGCCCUACGGGGCGCAGCAGUCGCGAAAACUUUGCCAUAGACAAUAAGUGUGACAGGCCUAUCCKGAGUGCCAUCCGCUGAGGAAGGCUUUUACUCAGUCUAGAAAGCUGGCAGAAUAAGGAGAGGGCAAGUCUGGUGUCAGCCGCCGCGGUAAUACCAGCUCUCCGAGUGGUGUGGAUGUUUAUUGGGCCUGAAGCAUCCGUAGCUGGCCAAGUUAGUCCCCUGUUAAACCCACCGAAUUAAUCGUUGGAGUGCGGGGGAUACUGCUCGGCUAGGGGACGAGAGAGGCCGACGGUAUUUCCGGGGUAGGGGUGAAAUCCUAUAAUCCCGGGAGGACCACCAGUGGCGAAGGCUGUCGGCUAGAACGCGCCCGACGGUGAGGGAUGAAAGCUGGGGGAGCGAACCGGAUUAGAUACCCGGGUAGUCCCAGCUGUAAACGAUGCAGGCUAGGUGUUUGGGCGGCCACGGGCCGCUCUAGUGCCGCAGGGAAGCCGUUAAGCCUGCCGCCUGGGGAGUACGGUCGCAAGGCUGAAACUUAAAGGAA